rnacentral:rRNA from 1 species
CCUACGGGGGGCAGCAGUGGGGAAUAUUGCACAAUGGGGGAAACCCUGAUGCAGCGACGCCGCGUGAGUGAAGAAGUAUUUCGGUAUGUAAAGCUCUAUCAGCAGGGAAGAAACCCACCCUCCGGGGUGGCUGACGGUACCUGACUAAAAAGCCCCGGCUAACUACGUGCCCGCAGCCGCGGUAAUACGUAGGGGGCAAGCGUUAUCCGGCCUUACUGGGUGGAAAGGGAGCGUAGGUGGCAAGGCAAGUCAGUUGUGAAAACCCGGGGCCCAACCCCGGGAGUGCAUUUGAAACUGUCUGGCUAGAGUGCAGGAGAGGUAAGUGGAAUUCCUAGUGUAGCGGUGAAAUGCAUAGAUAUUAGGAGGAACACCAGUGGCGAAGGCAGCUUACCGGACUGUAACUGACACUGAGGCUCGAAAGCGUGGGGAGCAAACAGGAUUAGAUACCCUAGUAGUC